rnacentral:misc_RNA from 1 species
UGAUACACCACUGGAAAUAAGACAAUAUAUAUGCAGGAUAGCAAAUGCCAUCACUGUAUUCUCAGCUUUAGGCUUCAUGGUUAAUUUGGACUCCAUAAUGGAGACAGUUACCUUGAGCUUAUCUUUAAACCUUGGUGUACAUGAGAUGCUUGAAGCAGAAUUCCAUGUUCGAGUUGCUGAGCAAGAAGCUGAACGACGGAGCACAUCAAAAAGGAGGAGAUAGUUUACAACUCAUCAUCUACAUUUGCCUUUCUUGGAUUGUCGAUUAUGCAAAGAUAGAAGAGAUUAGGAAUCUAUUAAGCUGAAUCGGGUAGCGCUAUGUCACCCUUUAAUUGAAAAAGAUCUGUAAAAGAGUUUCCUUCUGAAUAUCCCCUUAAAUUCACACUUUUGAUUUAUGUGCAUUAGUAAGGAGUGUGCAGCUGAAGAUCUA